rnacentral:rRNA from 1 species
AUGAAGCACCCCCUCUCGCUCCCUUCCAAGCCGCGGAGCCCCAUCCUGGCUUGCACCCCCUUGCGCAGCCAGUGGAAGCUCUUCUCCUACCCGCUCGCCAGGCUCACCGGCGGCUGGGCGCCCGUCGAGCGCGCCUCCUGGGGAGACGUCUUCGAGAUCCUCAAGCGCCCCCGCCUGCUGGCCGGCGCGGGCGGCCGCCACGUCCUCAUGAUCGCUGGUCUCAGGUCGUCCUUUGCCUUGGACGCGCCCUGCUCCACGGUGCUCCUCCUCCGGCUGAAUCUGGCCACCAUGGAGUGGGGCGAGGCUGGCCGCAUGCCGCCCAAUAUGUACUGCUGCUUCACUGGCCUGUGCGAGGCUACUGCGCAGGCAAGCGCCAUGCCCGCCCCUGUUGCCAACGGCAACAACAAGGUAAAGGUGUUUGGGGGUGAUGGCAAGGUGUGGUUUGGUGGAAAGCGCGCCCGCGGGAAGCUCGCAAUGUGGGAGGAGGAUGACAUAGGGAGCAGCGGCGGCAAUUGGGACUGGGUGGAUGGUGUUCCUGGAUAUGGUGAUGGUGUAUACCGCAGCUUUGUGUUCGAUGGUGGGUUCACAGCAAUUCCAUGA